AACGCGAAGAACCUUACCUGGGCUCGAAAUGUAGUGGACUGGGGUAGAAAUAUCCCUUUCUCGCAAGAGACUGCUAUAUAGGUGCUGCAUGGCUGUCGUCAGCUCGUGUCGUGAGAUGUUGGGUUAAGUCCCGCAACGAGCGCAACCCUUAUCCCUAGUUGCCAUCGGGUCAAGCCGGGCACUCUAGUGAAACCGCCCCGGAUAACGGGGAGGAAGGUGGGGAUGACGUCAAGUCCUCAUGGCCUUUAUGUCCAGGGCUACACACGUGCUACAAUGGUCGGUACAAACCGUCGCAAACCCGCGAGGGGGAGCUAAUCGGAAAAAGCCGACCUCAGUUCGGAUUGGAGUCUGCAACUCGACUCCAUGAAGCUGGAAUCGCUAGUAAUCGCGGAUCAGAACGCCGCGGUGAAUACGUUCCCGGGCCUUGUACACACCGCAUAC
rnacentral:rRNA from 1 species